UACAGAGGUGCCAAGCGUUAGGCGGAAUCACUGGGCUUAAAGCGCGUGUAGGUGGACGGGUAAGUAUCUUGUGAAAUCCCCGGGCUUAACCUGGGAACUGCGUUUGAAACUACAAGGCUAGAGUGUGGCAGAGGGGGGUGGAAUUCCACGUGUAGCAGUGAAAUGCGUAGAGAUGUGGAGGAAUACCGAUGGCGAAGGCAGCCCCCUGGGAUAAUACUGACGCUCAUGCACGAAAGCGUGGGGAGCAAACAGG
rnacentral:rRNA from 1 species